UGUGUCAAUCAUCGAGAGGUGGGGUAACGAGACGGAUUGCUUAUGAUUGCUUCGCUCGACUCUCUGACCCGAACAUUCGUCUCUGCGAAUCAGGGAUCGCUCGACGUAGCUUUGUAUCCCUGAAAUUAAUUUAGUUUCACAUCGUAUUUAUUAGUUGCAUGCAAAAGUUUUAUGCUGCGCGAAUUUUUUGCUUACGUAAACGUAAGCGUUUAAUACGCGUAUCGAUGACAACGCGAUACGCCGGGGUCUGCGAGAACGGACAUUGAACAGUUAUUGGAUAAUUCGGACAGUCGAGCUCCGAUGAUAAUUAACGCCAGUAACCAGUUUUUAUUCGAAUAACCUUAAAUCCGAUUUACAUUAAAUUUAUAAUGACUUUACACGUAGAAUAUUGAAUUAAAACCAAGCAGAUUUUAAUCAGUAGAUUUGGUCAAGUCUAUGGCAGUGGUGAUCGAAUUUUAAUAAAAUAGCAAAAUGUUGAACAAAGUUAACAAGGAAUUGUUGCCCAUAAAAGGCCAUUAUUUUUUAUACAAUGCUGCUACCGGACCAAUUGUACCAUUCCUGCCUACGAUUGCUAAACAAUUAGGAUUUUCCAGUACUCUAGUCGGUUCAAUUUACACCGUACUUCCGAUAUCUGGUUUGAUAGCAAAACCUUUGUUUGGUGGUUUGGCGGACAAGUUCCAAUUGCACAAGACAUUCUUUUUGCUAUUUCAAGCCCUUUUGGCGAUCAGUUUUUUUGGAAUCAAUUUUAUACCAGAAAUACUAACGACCGCAGAGGUCACCGUUACCUGCAACAAUGCUGACGCCUUUGUGGAAAUUCCAUCCGUCGGUGGAUUCAGCAACAAAGUCAUACACAACUUGAUCGGAGCCAAUAACAGCAAUGUUAAUUGCGAGAUGUCCUGUACCGCUUCUAAUCGGGCUUACGAAGAACUCUGUGCUCAUUGGCACGCGGUGCAAUUUUGUAACCAAAUAAAUGUGACGGAUCAUCCGACCGGCAGGAUUAACUUCACCGCCGGUCUCAGCAUGAGCCAAGUCGUUCAGGCAAAAAAUUCCGUAAAUAUUCGCAUGAGGAACGCUACAUUUUCAGACAAUGUCUUACAUACACCUGUGUGCUAUUCCCUGCUAAGAUUGAGCUGCUUAACUAACUGCCCAGAUUCCGCAAGCCUCAGUCGACUGCUCGACGAGUCCAAGGGGCGUUCAAACACGUCGCAGACUUCUACGUACCAGUUUCACUUGUUCUUGUGGCUCGCUAUUAUCAGCUGGAUCGGAAUGGCUGUUGUGGUCAGCAUAGCCGACGCGAUAUGCUUCGGGCUGCUCGGUGAUGGAAAAGAGAAGGAGUACGGAAAGCAAAAGAUGUGGGGUAGCAUCGGAUUUGGAAUUUUUGGCAUCGGCGCAGGAUAUCUCGUUGACCUGUUCAGUCGUGGGCAGACGGAGAAGGAUUAUACUUGUAUAUUCUAUCUGAUGCUUGUCGCAAUGCUGUUGGAUAUAUCGGUGUCUUCGGUUCUGAAAAAACGAGUGAUCAGAGAUCGAGAGCCAUCGGUGCUAUGGGAACUUUGGGCUGUCGGAAGAGAGGGUCGUGUAAUGGCUUUCGGUUGGUGGUGCAUCGGUGCCGGGAUGUGCACAGGUGUAGUUUGGAACUUCCUGUUUUGGUAUACGGAAGAAAUAGCGACCGGAGACCAGAUAAAUUGGCUGAAAACGCUGCAGGGAUUGCUCACUGGCAUUCAAUGUUUCGCCGGAGAAAUGCCCUUUAACUUUCUGUCGGGUGCUGUGCUGAGGCGGCUGGGUCACGUCAACGUGAUGAGCGUGGUGCUUUUGGUGUACGCGAUAAGGUUCAUGGCGUACAGUCUGACUUCGAAUCUGUGGAUAUUUCUGCUCCUAGAAAUACUGCACGGUCCGUCUCUAGGUUUGUGUUGGCCCACGAUGGUGUCUUACGGAGACAAGGUGGCUCCGCCUGGAACAAAGGCUACGAUACAAGGAUUAGUCGGUGCUGUAUUCGAAGGAAUAGGUGUAUCGCUGGGCAGUUUCAUUUGCGGAUUGCUGAUGGACACGUACGGGGGGGUGAUAACCUUCCGCGUGUUUUCAGCGGGUGCGUUGGUGUGGCUAGCGAUCCACUGGCAGUUGCAACUCUGUUUGAUGAAAUCAAAAGCGAAUCCCAUUCACCAAGGCCACAAUCGUGAGUAGCUCGGUCUCGUGGUGGCUCUGGUAUGCUGUUGGUAAUAACGAUAAUAAAGCAAAAGACACAAAUCAGGGAUAGCCUUGAGGCAUGAAACGAAAUAAGCUGCUAAUUCAUUCAACCCUUUGCACAAAAACUAUUAUUCGUACGAACGAUGAAGGUCAACUUGCGCUUGGCAUGAAUUACGUUUGAACAUGACUGGUUACUGGUCUAACAAUGACGGUGAAACAGAUUUGGCAACGUACGCAGCUCCGGACGACGCGAUUCACAUCACAGCCAGCCAGGAACUGCAAACUUAUUGAAUUAAAAGCGCACAGGAUGCGGAAAUCGUAUAGAGCGUACGAUGCACGGUAUUCACACGCGGUAUUUUAGGUUUUAAAACUUACUGUCGGCCAAGUGAAAUCUGUCUACGACUCACCGGAGCGUUCAGAAAGACAAUGAAUUCGACAAUUGGAAGCCAAAGAGUCGUUGGCUCUCUCUGAAUUCGUAAUCUAAUCUGCUGUCAAUUAAUCUUUAUUGCUAUAUAAUACAAUAUAUUUGUCACAACGUAGUUGCAAUCUGUGAAUGAAUUUUUAUGUACAUGAUAGCGUAACGAUUACCUAUUAGCGUCGUUGGACAUUUUUUUAUUUUACGUACGUAUACAUCCAUUAGAUGUUUAAUAUACAUUCAGUAUUAUAUAAAUUAAUUUUUGUAUAUACAUGUGUAUUAAUAUAUUUUGUUUAUUUUUUAUA